UCACUUCCGCUGGUAACCAAAAGCAGUCAGACGUGAGGGAUGUCAAAGAAAAUUAAAUUUGGAGAGAGACGAUUCAGAAACAGGAAAGGAACCGUUUGACAAUACUCUAUUUAUAGAACGAAAAUAAUUUAAGAGAUCGUGGUAAGAAUUUAAAUAGACAUUUCGAAAAUAUCACAUUUUUAGCUAAAUCUCCUGUUUUGUGGGUAAAAAACGAAAGAGAUGGGGACAAGAGCUAGUCGUUUACAGGAGGACCCAGUGUCUUCGGCUUUCGUCAAAGAUGGCAUAAAGCGGGAUUCCUAUCGACGACCCCGCUGCAAUAGGCCCGCCAGUCUUAAAAUAGACUUUUCGGGGAGUUUUGACGAUUCGGAGACCAACCGUAGCCGAUCGGAGGAGGGCAGCUAUUCGGACAUAGGGCAACAGGCGAGUGCCGUUGGAAGCCCCGCCGACCACAACAGCCACCCAUCCAUCAGCCAGUCAUCACCAGCGGAAGACACCAGCGAAUGCAAGCGCGAGGAAGACGCUAAUAGCAGUCCCGAGGGUGCUGUCAACGGGGAACAUCUGCCUGGAGAGGAGACAGGCCGCGUGUCUCACCGCACUUUCUCUGAACGUUUACCCGGCAAUCGACAAUCUAACUGGCGCAACGUCAGCGCAAGAUCCGCACGAAUGAGAGGCAUCAAUCAACGCCCGGCGUCGGAGGCUUGGAUUGGCCUCUACCGUGUCAACAACCGACAUGAUAUCCGCUGUCCGUUCUGCUCCAAGUCUUUCUCGGGGGGCAAGAUUGAGAAUCACCUGUUGAGCUGCCUCACAUCUCCAUCUCUCCCUUACAACACGGACGUGCUCAGUAAGGACAGCGGUGAGUGUUCCAUCUGUCUGGAGGAGCUGCAGCAAGGAGAGACCAUUGCCCGGCUGGCCUGCCUAUGUGUCUACCACAAGGGCUGUAUAGACUCCUGGUCCAAGGUGAAGCCAUGCUGUCCCGAACACCCUUUUGAUUGACUCAUGGGUCACAUGUCCUGCUCAGGGACACACCUGACUCGGGAGACUGCAAUGUUUCUAUAAUUGCAGCAAAUAUAUUAUGGCAAUGAAAAAUACCAGAGGCAAGCCUCCUAAUUUUACUGAACCAGACACAGCCCCACAAGGAUGUCAAUGAAAAAUACCAGAGGCAAGCCUCCUAAUUUUACUGACCCAGACACAGCCCCACAAGGAUGUCAAUGAAAAAUACCAGAGGCAAGCCUCCUAAUUUUACUGACCCAGACACAGCCCCACAAGGAUGCGACCGCAGACCACUUUUUUUUCUCUUUCGACCUGGUUCAGUCCAUUUGAGCUGGUUCAGUCCGUUUGAGCUCAACUCAGACCACUAUAACUACCACUGGAAUAGACAGCCACCUCUCCUCUGUGAACAUAGCCCAAACGAUAAACUGCUGCACUCCAGAAAAACGACGCUGAGCUUUGUGACGGUUAUGCUGAUAUAUUCAAUGAGAAUGUUUGUCACCACAGCGAUAUCUGCACCCCAAGAUAUGGACAAUCUGCCUUCUCUUUGGUAUAAUAGAACAAUUACGUUUAUUUAUUAAAGUGUAAAUAUGUAUUGCAAUUCAAACUGGCUUGGUCUUUGUCUGUUCAUUUGACUGUUUCUAAGCUCCAAUCUUUUGUAUGUCUCAAUUGGUUUUAUAUGUAUUUUUUACAAUAAAUAUACUUUUGAGCCCUG